UUCUCUGUGGGGUCAGCAGAAGCACCGUGUGAGUCUCAGUAUUCUGAAAGGCACUUUGCUCUCAUACUUCAUGCAAAGAAGGUUCACUCCAUUUCUAUAACAAAUGGAGCCUUCAAGAAAUACAAGGCCUGAACUGGAGAAAUGCUGAAUUGCUAAAGGCAGUGCCACCAAGCCUGGAGACCAUGGAAGCAGAAAGUGUGGUGUUUGAACCCCCAUCUUCAGGCUGGUCAGAUAGCUCAGCCAACAAAGCAUGUGCUGCCAACCCAGAGACCCACACAGUCAAAGGAGAGAAACAAUCAUCCAAAGUUUUGUUCUGAUAUCCGCGGGUGUGCUGUGACAUACAAGACCCUUCCUACAGAAAGUAUAAUUUACAAAACUGGAACUGAGAGCUGGGUUCAUUGCUGUAACAAACCCAACCAUGUGUCUCUUAGGUCUUUAAUGUUAGUUUGCUAGAGGGAUGUGGGGAGCUUUGUAACUUUAGGUUAGAAAACCCCUUGGAUACUUUAAGUAGAGCAUGAUAGGCUGUUCUGGUAGGGCCUUGCAAGACAAAGGUGCUAUGACAAACUUGGGCAGAGAAGGCUUAGCUCAAAGGCUUCAAGGAGUCUAUCAGGAGCUGAGCUAUGUGCUGAUAAUGUGAUACAAAUGGUCUGGCUGCAUUCUUCUCAACCUCUGAGAACUUGGUUGAUGUUGAAUUUAAAGACACAAGUAUUCGAGCCAUGUAAUGGUCACUGCAUCCAGCAAGAGAAAAGAAUAGGAGAGACAUGAAGCUCGGAGAAGUGUCUGAGCGCGUUUAAAGCUCUAGGUGAGGCGAGUGUAGAUGACAAAGCAUCCGUGAUUGUAGAGAGCUCAGUGCUGUUGUUAAAGGGAGCCUGGUGUGCUGCGUGACUUCACAGUCGACUUGGACAACUAGAGCCAGCUGGCAUGAGGACCUCAACGGAAGAGCUGCCCCAUCACACUGCUCUAUGGGCAUGUCUGUGGGACAUUUCCUUCACUGUAAUUGAUGGAAAAGACGAGGCCUGCAGUGGAUGAUGAUACUGGGUCAUGUUAGAGAACGAGAUGAGCAGGAGGCAGAAAGCAAGCUAGGAGUGAGCGCCAUUCCUUCAUGGUUUCUACUGCAGACCCCUGGAGUUCCUGCCCUGACUUCCCUCAGUGAUAAACUAUGACCUGAAACUGAAGCUGAAAUAAACCCCUUCCUCUUUCAACAAAAACCAUGUAAUCAACCAAUUUAAAUUGCUCAGUGUUCACUGUGGUAGUGUCCAGCCAACUCAUAGGUGUUCAAUAAAGGCUCACUAAGUGGGUGAACCUUAAUAUUUGUUGAGGGAGGAACAGAUAUUUCUACAACUUAAUAAAAUUCACCAGUAUAACAACAUUAAUCUCAACCAGUCAAUACAGUCCAAUACGUCAUCAGGUUAAGCAGCACGACCUGCAGUUGUCACCGCUCAGAUGACAGAGGGAGUGUGAUGGACUGAGCUGAGGAGUUUGAGGACAAUCCUGUCUCAGACAUCAAAUCGUAGCAGCUCGAGGACCAACUGGACAAAAUUCAGGUUAAAUAUUUAAACAAUUAUUUUCACACUUACAGAUUUCGCUUCUGCCCAAAUGACAGCUCCGACUCCUGUUUUAUGAUCCUCUGAAAGACAGGAUAUUUAUCUCAGUAAAAAAAAAAAAUCAACAUUGUCAGUAUCAAGAUCCAUUCUUCCCAAAUCAUAGGAACAUAUUUCUUGCAACAUACAUGAUAAAUGCAGCAACAAUUCCUUGCCCUAACUACACAAAACUCUCAAGAUAAGCCUUUUCAGGUGCAGGCCACAGGAAUGAGGUACCAAAUAACCAGACAGAGCCACUGACCCCCACCACACAUGGUCUCUGUGACAACCCCUGAAUGGCAGUGGCACACUCAAGCUAUUAAUGGAACAGCUCAUCCUCACUGACUCUCCACCAACAGGACAGGACCUAAGUGACCACUUCUACAGGUGAUGAAGCUGAAGACAUACGAAAUGUCUAACAGAACUGAUUUAGUGAACUAACCAUUUGAUAAAAUCAAGUUUGUCUUUUUCUAAUGUUUUCUUUUACACUCUAAUCAUGGAAAAUUGACCUAAUGGGAAUACUUUUGUUAAAAAAAUGAGUUCAAGUAGAAAUUCUAUUUAAGGUCUUCUUUUUCCUCCUACAUUAGAGUGAGUUUUAAAUUUCUAAGACAAAUUUGAAUGAAUUAUAAAACCAUAGUAUUUAUCAAAAUCACAAAGGACAAAGUAGGGAUAUUUACAGAGAAAUCAGUAUUAUGUGUACCUUUACCCAGGGCCAUUCAUACUGCUAAGGGUUAGUACAACCAUCCUCCCCUCCAAUUUCCUUCAAGCUGAGCUCUCCUGUGAAUGCAUUUAAACAUCUACUUUUCCAUUACACACAAUUCAGACAAAAGUCCUGCAUGUUGUUGAAAAACCUAAGAUGCCUUAACUCAAAGAUUAUACUUAUGCAAUAAAAUUUUGCAUUUCAAAUUCAAGCACAGCACAUUUGGGUACUUUGUAUUUCCAAUUCGAAAUUAUAGCAUUUUUAUACGGAUCUCAUUUAUUUUUACCAAUUUUAUUAAUAGUUAAAAUUUCCAUUUCUAGAUAUGCAAUUAAGUAAAAUUUAGUUCUUUUAACCCAACCUUUUCUCUGCCUCUCUCUAACAUUAAGAUUUCCCUUAAAAAGCUUUCCCCAUUUUGUGUGCGGCAUGUGUCCAUAGUGAAAGGCAGACUGCAGAAGGAGGGAGAGACAUGGUCCGGUCCUCAAGCAUCUAGCAGCUGAAUGGGGCAUGGCAGAGAAGAGGAAGCCGUUCGAGGAGGAGGGAAAUGACACUGGA